rnacentral:rRNA from 1 species
GUACACGCUGUGACUAGCAUAUCAAUAAGCGGAGGAAAAGAAACUAACAAGGAUUCCCCUAGUAACGGCGAGUGAAGCGGGAAGAGCUCAAAUUUGAAAUCUUAAAGGGUUUCCCUUUACGAAUUGUAGUUUAAAGAAGUGUUUUCUGUUGAGGUUUUGGUAAAAGUUCUUUGGAAUAGGACAUCAUAGAGGGUGAGAAUCCCGUAUUUGACCUUUACUUUCCAACUUUGUGAUACACUUUCAAAGAGUCGGAUUGUUUGGGAAUGCAGUCCAAAAUGGGUGGUAAAUUUCAUCUAAAGCUAAAUAUUGGCGAGAGACCGAUAGCGAACAAGUACCGUGAGGGAAAGAUGAAAAGAACUUUGAAAAGAGAGCUAAACAGUACGUGAAGUUGUCAAAAGGGAAGCGUUUGACACCAGUGUUGUUUUUCUGAAAAUCAAUUAAAGAACUGUUUAUGCUAAGCUGUUUAGACUUUAUCAGCUAAUCUGUUUAGUUUUGAGCUUUUCUUUAAUGCACUUUUCAGUUAACAAGUCAACAUCAAUUUCCUUUGCUGUAAAAAAGCUUGAGGAAGGUGGCUUGAGAUUCGUCUUAAGUGUUUAUAGCCUCUUGCCUAUGCAGUCGGAGAGAUUGAGGUCUGCAGCGUAGAUCCUUCGGGGCUAAAUGCAUUUGUGCUAAGUUAUAGCAUUUUAUAGACAACUUGUUGACUAUGAUUUGUCUUGUAGCUUACUCGCUUAUGUUAUUUUACCUACGCUUAGGAUGUUGACGCGCGUGUGUGCGUG